UACCCUUGACAUGUACGGAAGUUUGUUGAGAGGUGGAUGUCCC
rnacentral:rRNA from 1 species